CGAAACCUCCAUUCUCUGCUCUCCUGUUUGGCAGAGCUCUUGAGCUGGGUUGCUCUGCUUACAGAGGGCUCUAGUGGGCUCUAGCAGCAUCCCAAGCUGAUGGGCAGUAUGAUGAGCCUGGUAGAGCCAGUGGAUUUAAAACUGUCCAGUCCUUGGAAGCAGGGGGGAGAUGUGUAUUAUUCAGUGACUCUAUUUGGUGUAGGGGGUGUUGCUUUUUUCACUCUCCCUUUCACCAACCCCAGACACGAACUGAGACUACGAUUUUCCGUUGUUAUUAGUAGCCAAGGUCAGAACAUGCAGGGCAGCCUGUAAUUAGUGAGACACGUGGCUUCCCUGAAGUCUUUAUCAAAACUAGAUUAUUUCAGCCUACAGAAGCCUUCCAAAGCAGCUUCUGUGUCUGGAUAAAUC
rnacentral:lncRNA from 1 species